rnacentral:rRNA from 1 species
CAUCGGUGACAGGUGGUGCAUGGUUGUCGUCAGCUCGUGUCGUGAGAUGUUGGUUAAGUCCCGCAACGAGCGCAACCCCUAUUGUUAGUUGCCAUCAUUCAGUUGGGCACUCUAGCGAGACUGCCGGUAAUAAACCGGAGGAAGGUGGGGAUGACGUCAAAUCAUCAUGCCCCUUAUGACCUGGGCUACACACGUGCUACAAUGGUUGGUACAACGAGUUGCGAGUCGGUGACGGCGAGCUAAUCUCUUAAAGCCGAUCUCAGUUCGGAUUGUAGGCUGCAACUCGCCUACAUGAAGUCGGAAUCGCUAGUAAUCGCGGAUCAGCACGCCGCGGUGAAUACGUUCCCGGGCCUU